GACGUAGGUGUCAAACGUUAUCCGGAAUUAUUGGGCGUAAAGGGUGCGUAGAUGGCCUGAUAAGUUAGCAGUGGGAAAUCGAGGCUCAACCUCGUGGAAGCUGGUAAUACUGUCAGGCUCGAGUGCAGGAGAGGUUAACGGAACUCCAUGUGGAGCGGUAAAAUGUGUAGAUAUAUGGAAGAACACCAAUAACGGCGAAGGCAGUUAACUAUUCUGUUACUGACAUUGAGGCACGAAAGCGUGGGGAGCAAAACGG
rnacentral:rRNA from 1 species